GUGUUGUAUAAAGAAGAGAAGGUUAGCAUUCCCCUUGACAAGCAUGGAGGAGGCCUGUACACUCAUAUAACUUCGGCAUUGCCACCUUCUUUGUGGCAUCUAACCAUGGUUUUGA
ensembl:snRNA